rnacentral:rRNA from 1 species
GACGAACGCUGGCGGCGUGCUUAACACAUGCAAGUCGAGCGGUAAGGCCCUUUCGGGGGUACACGAGCGGCGAACGGGUGAGUAACACGUGGGUGACCUGCCCUCAGCUCUGGGAUAAGCCUGGGAAACCGGGUCUAAUACUGGAUAUGACUCCAUGACGCAUGUUGUGGGGUGGAAAGCCUUGUGCGGCUGAGGAUGGGCCCGCGCCUAUCAGCUUGUGGUGGGGUGANGGCCUACCAAGGCGACGACGGGUAGCCGGCCUGAGAGGGCGACCGGCCACACUGGGACCGAGACACGGCCCAGACUCCUAC